rnacentral:lncRNA from 1 species
UUGAGUAAGAAAAUAAAAUAAUGUCUAUGCCAAAUUUUCCUUUAAUUCAACAUGCAUAAAUGAGUUGUUUUUAGCAGACAGUUGAUACCCCAAAAAUAAAGUACUACUAAAAAUAAAAAUGUAAAAGAUCAAGAAUACCUGCAAAUUGAUGCCAAAAGUUAAGUUCAACUGCGAAUUUGAUGCCCAACAGACUAACAAAGUUUAAGUUUCAACCCAAUUCCCCAGGGUAAACAACAAAAUCGUAUUGAAGCUCCUCCUCUUCAAGAAUGUAUAUAUACAAAAUUCUGGAUGAACUUAAUCCCUAAAAGAGGUGCAAAAGAAUGGUACACAAACAUCUGAAGCACAUGUAGAUUCAGUAGCAAAUGAGCAUGUAUAUUCAUAAGAGGGAAUCUUCUUGCUUUCUUGUUCAAAAUAGUCUGCGCAAAAGGCUUCCAACUUGAAACAUUUUGUUUCUCCCCACCAGAAUGGAGCCAUAUUGUAUCAAAAUUUCCUCAAAUUGCAGGUGUGACAACAUAACUGAUUCGUCAUAGUGUUUUUUCAAGAAAAGGCUUCCAACUUGAAACAUUUUGUUUCUCCCCACCAGAAUGGAGCCAUAUUGUAUCAAAAUUUCCUCAAAUUGCAGGUGUGACAACAUAACUGAUUCGUCAUAGUGUUUUUUCAAGAAUUAUACACCAGUUUGAUUUGUCAUAAAAACGAUCAACAACAACUGCAUUUUCCAUACCAGAAAC